UGGGGAAUUGUUCACAAUGGGCGCAAGCCUGAUGAUGCAACGCCGCGUGGGGGAUGAAGGUCUUCGGAUCGUAAACCCCUGUCGAAUGGGACGAAAGACUCGCGAGUGAAUACUUCGCGAGAGUGACGGUACCGUUAAAGGAAGCCACGGCUAACUCUGUGCCAGCAGCCGCGGUAAUACAGAGGUGGCAAGCGUUGUUCGGAAUUACUGGGCGUAAAGGGCGCGUAGGCGGCCCUCUAAGUCAGACGUGAAAUCCCCCGGCUUAACCUGGGAACUGCGUCUGAUACUGGAGGGCUUGAGUAUGGGAGAGGGAUGUAGAAUUCCAGGUGUAGCGGUGAAAUGCGUAGAUAUCUGGAGGAAUACCGGUGGCGAAGGCGGCAUCCUGGACCAUUACUGACGCUGAGGCGCGAAAGCUAGGGGAGCAAACGGGAUUAGAUACCCACGUAGUCCCUGAGCGGGCUGGCAAGGCGCAU
rnacentral:rRNA from 1 species